CCGAGAUGUAUAAUAUCGGCGCACUUUAUUGCCGAUUAUGUUUUACUUUCAUCCAAUUUUAGGGCGACUUGAACUUCGCUUUUCUGGGCGGGAAGGGCGAAGUGAAAUAUUUUAAAGCGAAGUUUUCGCUCAACUUCGCCUAAAACGCAGUCCCUGAUGUCGAUGUUAAUCUUUGAUGCCGUUCACGAUAAUUAUGCUGCCACUGACCCCAAGCCGAAACAGAACGAGGCUUUUCAAUAUUUUCCUGCUUGCCAAGAUAUGUUAUUGUACAAAGUUUGGCAAAUUUCUGUAUUAUAUCAACAUAUGUUUAUUCUAAAACCGAUCAUCACGUGAUGAACAAUGGUCACGUGAAUGUUGUCUUGGCAGUGAUCAAUGAGCAAAGCGGCAAGGGAGAUCACUGCGUUGGAGUUUGAACAGGACACUGCAAGUCGCACUGUAGCCACAGGAUAUUGCAAGUUGCACUGUGGCCACAGAUUACACACAAUAGGACACUGUAAGUCGCACUGUAGCCACAGAAUCAUUACACACAAUAGGAUACUGCAAGUCGCACUGUAGCCACAGAUUACAAA
rnacentral:lncRNA from 1 species